rnacentral:tRNA from 1 species
UUUUUUGUAGUUUAAAAAAUAUUAAAUUUUCAAUUUAAAGAUGUCUUCCAAAAGUA